UACAGAGGGUGCAAGCGUUAAUCGGAAUUACUGGGCGUAAAGGGCGCGUAGGCGGUUGAUUAAGUUGGAUGUGAAAUCCCUGGGCUUAACCUAGGAACUGCAUCCGAUACUGGUCAGCUAGAGUGCUGUAGAGGGUAGUGGAAUUUCCGGUGUAGCGGUGAAAUGCGUAGAUAUCGGAAGGAACACCAGUGGCGAAGGCGGCUACCUGGACAGACACUGACGCUGAGGCGCGAGAGCGUGGGGAGCAAACAGG
rnacentral:rRNA from 1 species